GAUGAACGCUGGCGGCGUGCUUAACACAUGCAAGUCGAACGAAGCACUUUACUACGAUUUCUUCGGAAUGACGGUUUUGUGACUGAGUGGCGGACGGGUGAGUAACGCGUGGAUAACCUGCCUCAUACAGGGGGAUAACAGCCGGAAACGGCUGCUAAUACCGCAUAAGCGCACGGUACCGCAUGGUACAGUGUGAAAAACUCCGGUGGUAUGGGAUGGAUCCGCGUCUGAUUAGCCAGUUGGCGGGGUAACGGCCCCACCAAAGCGACGAUCAGUAGCCGACCUGAGAGGGUGACCGGCCACAUUGGGACUGAGACACGGCCCAAAUCCUACGGGAGGCAGCAGUGGGGAAUAUUGCACAAUGGGGGAAACCCGUGAUGCAGCGACGCCGCGUGAGCGAAGAA
rnacentral:rRNA from 1 species